GAUGAAGAACGUAGCGAAAUGCGAUAAGUAAUGUGAAUUGCAGAAUUCAGUGAAUCAUCGAAUCUUUGAACGCACAUUGCGCCCACCAGUAUUCUGGCGGGCAUGCCUGUUCGAGCGUCAUUUCAACCCUCAGGCCCCCAGUGCCUGGUGUUGGGGAUCGGCCCAGCCUUCCUGUAAGGCCGCCGGCCCCGAAAUCUAGUGGCGGUCUCGCUGUAGUCCUCCUCUGCGUAGUAGCACAACCUCGCAGUUGGAACGCGGCGGUGGCCAUGCCGUUAAACACCCCACUUCUGAAAGUUGACCUCGGAUCAGGUAGGAAUACCCGCUGAACUUAAGCAUAUCAUAAGCGGAGGA
rnacentral:misc_RNA from 1 species